rnacentral:rRNA from 1 species
GACGAACGCUGGCGGCGUGCUUAACACAUGCAAGUCGAACGGAAAGGCCCUGCUUUUGUGGGGUGCUCGAGUGGCGAACGGGUGAGUAACACGUGAGUAACCUUCCCUUGACUUUUGGAUAACUUCAGGAAACUGGGGCUAAUACCGGAUAGGAGCUCCUGCUGCAUGGUGGGGGUUGGAAAGUUUCGGCGGUUGGGGAUGGACUCGCGGCUUAUCAGCUUGUUGGUGGGGUAGUGGCUUACCAAGGCUUUGACGGGUAGCCGGCCUGAGAGGGUGACCGGCCACAUUGGGACUGAGAUACGGCCCAGACUCCUACGGGAGGCAGCAGUGGGGAAUAUUGCACAAUGGGCGGAAGCCUGAUGCAGCAACGCCGCGUGCGGGAUGACGGCCUUCGGGUUGUAAACCGCUUUCGCCUGUGACGAAGCGUGAGUGACGGUAAUGGGUAAAGAAGCACCGGCUAACUACGU